rnacentral:lncRNA from 1 species
GAGAUCUGCUGAUUGCUCCUACAUCUUUCAGACAGUAAAUUACUGUCCUGACUCUCCACCACUAAAUAUAGCUGACAGAAACCAAGGAAGCAGUUGACUACAGGGAAACGUUAUAAAUGGAUUAUAAUUUUCAUUUCCAAAGGAAACACAGUAUUUAGACAGAGGAAAUAUGUUGGAGAAUAUCAACUGAGUGGCAGGAGCAGCUGGAUCCAGAAUAAACUGACAGAUCUUGUAACUUCAGUGGAUUAGAAAAUUUCUUUCCCACGAACGAAAGCAUACAUAGAGAACAGCUUUCUGUUUUCUUUUCUAGUUUCUUCCUGUUUUUGUAGGAACUACAGCCACGAGUCAUUUAAAGAUGGAGGUAUGUCAUGUGGCAACCUCGCCACUGCAUGCAUUUGUGUAGACCUAGCUGGUUACAUGGCCUCUUGAUGCAAUCCAGAGACAAGGUCUUUGGCAUAACCUUCCAUCGCAGGCAGAGAGUUAGCCUUGCUGGCUGGGGCCAAUCGACAGCUAAGACAGGGACCGAUGCAUUUGUGAAUUAGAAAACAAUAUUACUUUGUAAGAAGAAUGAAACUUUACUAUUAGUAAAUGCCUACCACUGGAUGCUUAAGGAAAAACAAACAAACAAACAAACAAACAAACAAAACGAAGCUGCUUUGGAAAGAAAAGGAGUGAGAUGAGAUGGAAGGUAGAGGUUGAAAGUCACUUAAGAGGUGGUGUGGUUGAAAAUGCUAUGGCGUCAGGCAUUGGAAACAGGAAAAUUUUCUCAGUAUUUCCAGUGUUCCACACCUUAGACAAGAAGAAAGAGAGUCUUGGGAGUUUUGGAAGGAAAACACUCAUCCUAUCCUGGGUAGUUAAUACAUGCUAGUGCCUUACCCAUGAACACCCUUCCUAGGCAGGUAAGUUCUCCAGUUUUUGAGCAUAGCCUCCCCACUAGAGGAUUCAGG